AAUAGAUACCCGGGUAGUCCACGCCGUAAACGAUGGAUGCUAGCUGUUAUGCGUAUCGACCCGUGUAGUAGCGAAGCUAACGCGUUAAGCAUCCCGCCUGGGGAGUACGAACGCAAGUUUAAAACUCAAAGGAAUUGACGGGGACCCGCACAAGCGGUGGAGCGUGUUCUUUAAUUCGAGGCUAAGCGAAGAACCUUACCAGGGCUUGACAUCCUCGGAAUUUCUCCGAAAGGAGAGAGUACUUUAUUGGACCAAGUGACAGGUGCUGCAUGGCCGUCGUCAGCUCGUGUCGUGAGAUGUUUGGUUAAGUCCAUUAACGAGCGCAACCCUUAUGAAUAGUUGUAUUUUUCUAUUCAGACUGCCCCGGUAACGGGGAGAAGGGGGGAUGAUGUCAGGUCAGUAUUGCCCUUACGCCCUGGGCUAGAAACGCGCUACAAUGGCCGGUACAAUGCGCUGCCAACCCGCGAGGGGGAGCAAAUCGCAUCAAAGCCGGUCCCAGUUCGGAUAAGAGGCUGAAACUCGCCUCUUUGAAGCCGGAAUCGCUAGUAAUCGU
rnacentral:rRNA from 1 species